CGGGUGAGUAACACGUGGAUAACCUACCUAUAAGACUGGGAUAACUUCGGGAAACCGGAGCUAAUACCGGAUAAUAUUUUGAACCGCAUGGUUCAAAAGUGAAAGACGGUCUUGCUGUCACUUAUAGAUGGAUCCGCGCUGCAUUAGCUAGUUGGUAAGGUAACGGCUUACCAAGGCAACAUGCAUAGCCGACCUGAGAGGGUGAUCGGCCACACUGGAACUGAGACACGGUCCAG
rnacentral:rRNA from 1 species